rnacentral:lncRNA from 1 species
AAUUGAAGAAGUGUAUGGUUCCUCCCUCCAUACAUAACCGGACCAAUUGGUUCAAACUUGAUCGCUGGUCUCUUGAACCCUGUUGGAUCCUCUCAAGUGGACAUGGGUAGUUCCACCUUUGUUACUGAUUAACGGAAUUCAUCAAGUGCAUCACCUUGUAAUUUCUUUAAAAGCCUCGAUGAUUGCUACCUCUUGUCGUCUUUAGUGACUUCGCUCCUCCCUCUGGGGAUUUUUCUGUUGAAUAUUUCAUGGAAUAUUUCAAGCUAGUCUCUUUUAGGUGUGGGAGGAGAUUAUGUUGUUGUAUCUUAGUUUUGGUGGGAAAAGGUUGUGGAGAGUGCGGCCUCUCGAAAU